UGAGGUCUUCCCCGACGAUUACGAUCCUUAUGAGGGAGCUCCAGCGACUCCGAUCGAGGCACAACCUCUUAUCCAUGUACAUGACACCGAGUCGCAGGGUGAGAUUCUGUCGAUAGAGGCACAACCUGCAGUGGUUAAGAGUCGGAAGAGGAAGAGAAAGCCUCCUGUAUGGUUCGGUGACUAUACGGAGAUGAAGAGGAGACAUAGGCCAUCUUCGACUUUUGAUCCCCUGGAGCCACCGGAUGAGAAAUUGUUAACCACUUUCCGAAAGUGGUGUGUUGGACUCAUUCCGAACCACCGACUUCGGGAUUUGAGAAGUGGUGAUUACGGUCCAGGAUUCUUUUGGAUAAUGCUCACACCAAAGGAAUGGCUUACAGAUGACGUAAGUAAAGUAUUUUAUAAUAUUACUUCACUUUACAACUUUAUGUGCAAUUAAUAUAUUUUUCUGUCUAACUGACAUUUCCCUUUAUAUGCAGCAUAUAGAUGCAGCAAUGUAUAUGCUGAGGAGGCGACACACCGACUAUCCACUGACAUUUCCUCAGAAGGGUAUCAUUCUCUCCACAUUCGUGACCGCCAUGAUGAGCAGUGCAUGGACGAGCCACAAGGGUCCGAGGAAAAACUUUAAAUGGGAGGAUUAUAUCCUGGACUACUGCAGAGGGGCUCAUAAGGUAUUGUUUUAGUAAGAUUUUAAAUGUUAAUUGUUUGGUAAGAUUAUUAUGGUUUGUUAAUUGUUUCGUUAUUCUCUGUAAUUACAGUCCCAGGUCUUUGAGAGAUGGAGGGGUAACGAGUUUAUUUACUUCGUUCUGAACCUUCCCGAGGCAAGGCACUGGGUCACAGUUGAAGUCGACAUAGAGCUGUGGAAAAUUAAUGUCUACGAUGUGAUUGCAGCGUCUGUCAUUGGACCGCCUUGGAACCCAUGCUGAAGGUUUGGGCAGAACUGCUGCCCUCGCUAAUCCUUGCAACCGGGGAAUUUCCACAUAACAACCAGAUCAUGGCGUUAGCUAACUGUGACAUCACGGUGCUUCCAAAAAUGCACGCGACUCGAGCCACUCACGACUUAGUUCCGAAGUCAGCAACCAGUGGUGAUUGUGGCGUCUAUUGCAUUGAGUAUGUGGAGCAUCUCAUGAUGCAGCGUGGAUUGACCGAUGUGACGCCAGACCGGAUAGCUAUGUUUCGUCAACGGUGGUGUGUCGAUUUAUUUUACCAAAAUGUCGGCUGAUUAUAUGUGUAAUUAUUGGGACAUUGUAUAUUUUGUGUAAUUAACAUUACAGUUAUGUAUAUAUAGAUUUUCUUUUCGUUCAAA